UACGGGGGGGGCAAGCGUUGUUCGGAAUUACUGGGCGUAAAGGGCUCGUAGGUGGCCAACUAAGUCAGACGUGAAAUCCCUCGGCUUAACCGGGGAACUGCGUCUGAUACUGGAUGGCUUGAGAUUGGGAGAGGGAUGCGGAAUUCCAGGUGUAGCGGUGAAAUGCGUAGAUAUCUGGAGGAAUACCGGUGGCGAAGGCGGCAUCCUGGACCGGCAUUGACGCUGAUGAGCGAAAGCUAGGGGAGCAAACGGG
rnacentral:rRNA from 1 species